rnacentral:pre_miRNA from 1 species
AAUAAGAGCAUUUUUUAUUUUUCCGUGUCCAACGUUUGAUCAUUUUUUUCUUACUAGAUGAUAAAACAUGAAUAGUACUUUAUGCGUAACUAAUUUUUUUAAGUUUUUAUACAAAUUUUUUAAAUAAGACGAAUGGUCAAACGUUAGACACGGAAAAACA